GUGCUCGCUUCGGCAGCACGUAGGCUAAAAUUGGAACGUUUCAGAGAAGAUUAGCAUGGCCCCUGAACAAGGAUGACGUGCAAAUUCAUGAAGCACUCCAUUUUAAA